AGGGCACCACCAGGAGUGGAGCCUGCGGCUUAAUUUGGCUCAACACGGGAAAACUCACCCGGCCCGGACACUGGAAGGAUUGACAGAUUGAGAGCUCUUUCUUGAUUCAGUGGGUGGUGGUGCAUGGCCGUUCUUAGUUGGUGGAGUGAUUUGUCUGGUUAAUUCCGAUAACGAACGAGACUCUAGCCUAUUAAAUAGAUCGUUGGCUUACAAACGCCGGCGAGACUUCUUAGAGGGACAGGCGGCGAUUCAGCCGCACGAAACAGAGCAAUAACAGGUCUGUGAUGCCCUUAGAUGUCCGGGGCCGCACGCGCGCUACACUGAAGUGAUCAGCGUGCAUUUUGAAACCUACUCUGUCAAGAGUGGGGAACCCAAUGAACCUUCUUCGUGAUUGGGAUAGGGGAUUGUAAUUAUUCCCCUUGAACGAGGAAUUCCCAGUAAGCGCGAAUCAUAAGUUUGCGCUGAUUACGUCCCUGCCCUUUGUACACACCGCCCGUCGCUACUACCGAUUGAAUGUUU
rnacentral:rRNA from 1 species